CCUACGGGCGACAGCAGUGGGGAAUAUUGCGCAAUGGGCGAAAGCCUGACGCAGCGACGCCGCGUGAGGGAUGAAGGUCUUCGGAUCGUAAACCUCUGUCAGCAGGGAGGAACGGUCACUGUGCUAAUCAGCAGUGAAUUGACGGUACCUGCAAAGGAAGCACCGGCUAACUCCGUGCCAGCAGCCGCGGUAAUACGGAGGGUGCGAGCGUUAAUCGGAAUUACUGGGCGUAAAGCGCUCGUAGGCGGUAUGUCAAGUCAAGGGUGAAAUCCCCGGGCUCAACGUGGGAACUGCCUUUGAAACUGGCAGACUAGAGUGUGUGAGAGGAAAGUGGAAUGUCAGGUGUAGGAGUGAAAUGCGUAGAGAUCUGGAGGAACAUCAGUGGCGAAGGCGACUAUCUGGCACAUAACUGACGCUGAGGAACGAAAGCGUGGGUAGCAAACAGGAUUAGAUACCCUUGUAGUC
rnacentral:rRNA from 1 species